GUAAAUUAUCUGGCCCAUUAAUAUCCGGGUGCUUUAAUCCGUUAUUAGAGGAGAAAAGUAAAAAUCCUCCACCAAGAUAGAUGUUUGCUUUUAAGAACCUUCACUAGCUCCCUAUUGCCUUUGUCAUAAAACUCCCAGCUCUCAGUGACCUGGCCCCAUCCCACCUGCCUACCAGAGCAUCUGCUGUGUGCCUACCCUUGCGCUGGAGGGAGCCAGGAGAAGGAGAGCAGGUGGUCUCUGCUCUCAGAGAAUUUUCUAUGCAGUAGGGAGGUGUCCAGCUCAGAUGGCUUUGUCCCCGCAUUUGUAACUGGGCAGAAGCUGGGGCCCGGAUGUUUCUGGUUGGAGGAUCCCGAGAACAACGCCCCCGCCCCCCACCCCACCGCCCAUGCCUUUGCAGUCUCUGAAUUGCACGUGGGGGCAGAGAUGCCUCCUGAGAAAAUCACCCACAGGUUUCACAGGAAGAAUCAUUUGGGGUUGGGAGGGACUGAGACACAUCAAAUAAAAUAUUUUCAAACCCAAGCAAUGCUUAAAUCCCCUUUUAAAAUAAAAAUAUUUUCCAAGAACUCUCCCCCACUUCUGUUGACUCAAGUAAUUUCUGUCAUCGUGUUACUUAAGUAUGUACCAACAUGAAGGCCGGAGGAAAAUCCAUCUGCUUAUGGCUCUUGCACGACUAUGAAAGCAAAACAAAUGGACAAGUUAGAGAAUGGCCA
rnacentral:lncRNA from 1 species